UGGGGAAUUUUGGACAAUGGGCGAAAGCCUGAUCCAGCAAUGCCGCGUGUGUGAAGAAGGCCUUCGGGUUGUAAAGCACUUUUGUCCGGAAAGAAAUCCUUGGCUCUAAUACAGUCGGGGGAUGACGGUACCGGAAGAAUAAGCACCGGCUAACUACGUGCCAGCAGCCGCGGUAAUACGUAGGGUGCAAGCGUUAAUCGGAAUUACUGGGCGUAAAGCGUGCGCAGGCGGUUUGCUAAGACCGAUGUGAAAUCCCCGGGCUCAACCUGGGAACUGCAUUGGUGACUGGCAGGCUAGAGUAUGGCAGAGGGGGGUAGAAUUCCACGUGUAGCAGUGAAAUGCGUAGAGAUGUGGAGGAAUACCGAUGGCGAAGGCAGCCCCCCUGGGCCAAUACUGACGCUCAUGCACGAAAGCGUGGGGAGCAAACAGGAUUAGAUACCCCUGGUAGUCCACGCCCUAAACGAUGUCAACUAGUUGUUGGGGAUUCAUUUCCUAGUAACGUAGCUAACGCGUGAAGUUGACCGCCUGGGGAGUACGGUCGCAAGAUUAAAACUCAAAUGAAUUGACGGGGUCAUAGCUGUUUCCU
rnacentral:rRNA from 1 species